rnacentral:rRNA from 1 species
AUUGAACGCUGGCGGCAGGCUUAACACAUGCAAGUCGAGCGGAGCGAGGGUGCUUGCACCUUAGCUUAGCGGCGGACGGGUGAGUAAUGCUUAGGAAUCUGCCUAUUAGUGGGGGACAACAUUCCGAAAGGAAUGCUAAUACCGCAUACGCCCUACGGGGGAAAGCAGGGGAUCUUCGGACCUUGCGCUAAUAGAUGAGCCUAAGUCGGAUUAGCUAGUUGGUGGGGUAAAGGCCUACCAAGGCGACGAUCUGUAGCGGGUCUGAGAGGAUGGUCCGCAACACUGGGACUGAGACCCGGCCCAGACUCCUACGGGAGGCAGCAGUGGGGAAUAUUGGACAAUGGGCGGAAGCCUGAUCAAGCCAUGCCGCGUGUGUGAAGAAGGCCUUUUGGUUGUAAAGCACUUUAAGCGAGGAGGAGGCUACUUAGACUAAUACUCUGGGAUAGUGGACGUUACUCGCAGAAUAAGCACCGGCUAACUCUGUGCCAGCCGCCGCCGUAA